rnacentral:rRNA from 1 species
AUGGAGUUUGGUCUCCAUCUUCGUCCUGGUGAGGGUGAACCCCUUGCAGAUCCCACACGCUACCGCCAUCUUGUUGGGAGCCUUGUCUAUCUAGGCAUCACUCGUCCUGACAUUUCUUAUGCUGUGCACAUUCUAAGUCAGUUUGUCUCUGCUCCCACUCAACUUCACUACAGUCACCUUCUUCGUGUUCUUCGUUACCUUCGUGGUACCGUGACUCGUCGCUUAUUCUUCCCUCGCUCCAGCUCUCUUCAGCUUCAGGCCUACUGUGAUGCUACCUGGGCCAGCGAUCCCACUGAUCGCCGCUCUCUCUCUGCCUAUUGUGUUUUUCUUGGCUCCUCCCUGAUUGCCUGGAAGACCAAGAAGCAGACUGCUGUAUCUCGCUCCAGUGCUGAGGCUGAGCUGCGAGCUAUGUCGUCCGUGACUGCAGAAAUUACUUGGCUACGAUGGCUUCUUCAGGAUUUUGGUGUUUCCACUGCUACACCGACCCCUCUGCUCUCCGACAGCACUGGGGCACUCAGCAUUGCCCGUGAUCCUGUUAAGCAUGAGCUCACCAAGCACAUCGGUGUUGAUGCCUCCUACACGCGUUCUCAGGUGCAAGACAGAAUUGUGGCCCCUCAGUAUGUGCCCUCGGAGCUUCAGCUUGCUGAUUUUCUGACGAAAGCUCAGACACGGUCCCAACACAGCUUUUUCCUGUCCAAACUCGGUGUCCAAGAUCCCCCUUGA